UGAUACAACUCUGGAGAGACUACAAUUUGUAGCAUCGAAGAAGUAAUACGGUUUGUACCGUAAAAUCUUUCAGAUAAAAAGACAGAGAAAAGGGU
rnacentral:ncRNA from 2 species